rnacentral:rRNA from 3 species
GGUUAAGUUAGAAAGGGCGCACGGUGGAUGCCUUGACACUAGGAGUCGAUGAAGGACGGGACUAACGCCGAUAUGCUUCGGGGAGCUGUAAGUAAGCUUUGAUCCGAAGAUUUCCGAAUGGGGAAACCCACCAUACGUAAUGGUAUGGUAUCCUUAUCUGAAUACAUAGGGUAAGGAAGACAGACCCAGGGAACUGAAACAUCUAAGUACCUG